rnacentral:rRNA from 1 species
AAAUUGAAGAGUUUGAUCAUGGCUCAGAUUGAACGCUGGCGGCAGGCCUAACACAUGCAAGUCGAACGGUAACAGGAAACAGCUUGCUGUUUCGCUGACGAGUGGCGGACGGGUGAGUAAUGUCUGGGAAACUGCCUGAUGGAGGGGGAUAACUACUGGAAACGGUAGCUAAUACCGCAUAAUGUCGCAAGACUAAAGAGGGGGACCUUCGGGCCUCUUGCCAUCGGAUGUGCCCAGAUGGGAUUAGCUAGUAGGUGGGGUAACGGCUCACCUAGGCGACGAUCCCUAGCUGGUCUGAGAGGAUGACCAGCCACACUGGAACUGAGACACGGUCCAGACUCCUACGGGAGGCAGCAGUGGGGAAUAUUGCACAAUGGGCGCAAGCCUGAUGCAGCCAUGCCGCGUGUAUGAAGAAGGCCUUCGGGUUGUAAAGUACUUUCAGCGGGGAGGAAGGGAGUAAAGUUAAU